CUAUAUCACUUUGAAACAAUGAUUCUAGUACGAUCACCGAAGUUAAGCAACUUCGAGCCAAGUUAGUACCUCGAUGGGUAACCGCUUGGGAACAGUCGAUGC